rnacentral:rRNA from 1 species
GGCAACCCUGACGGAGCAAGACCGCGUGGGGGAGGAAGGUCUGUGGAUUGUAAACCCCUUUUGACUGGGAAGAACACAAUGACGGUACCAGUCGAAUCAGCCUCGGCUAACUCCGUGCCAGCAGCCGCGGUAAUACGGAGGAGGCAAGCGUUAUCCGGAUUUAUUGGGCGUAAAGCGUCCGCAGGUGGCGAUACAAGUCUGCUGUCAAAGCGCGAAGCUCAACUUCGUAUAGGCAGUGGAAACUGUAUGGCUUGAGGGUGAUAGGGGCAGAGGGAAUUCCCAGUGUAGCGGUGAAAUGCGUAGAGAUUGGGAAGAACACCGGUGGCGAAAGCGCUCUGCUGGGUCACACCUGACACUGAGGGACGAAAGCUAGGGGAGCG